AGGCCAGAAAUGUCCAGUUUUGGUCGCCCUGCACGAAGAAAGAUGCCAUUAAGCUGCAGAUGGAGCAGAGGAGAUUUAGGAGGAUGUUGCUGAGACUCGAGGGGCUGAGUUAUGGAGAGAGGUUGAACAGGAGAUUCACCAGGAUGUUGCCCGGGACUGGAAAGUUGUCACUGAUAAGCUGCAGUGAAUAUCCUUGGAAUAGUGAAGGCUAAGAGAAGGUUUAAUUGAUAGAAAAACAGAAAAUACUCAGCAGCCUUCUCUCUAAACAUGCAUCCUCCCUGGGAACCAGCAUUCCUAAUUUAAUUAAACACGACCCACAUCUUGAUUAGGCAGCCACCUGCCAACAUGGAAACACAGAGGAGACAGCACGGCCAUCUUAACACACUCACAGAUGAGGGGGAGCUGCUUGCCGGGUGACUGGGGA